rnacentral:lncRNA from 1 species
AUCGACCACCUCACAGUGCUGCUUCUGCUGUUCCUAGAGGGCUUCUACCAGCUGCAGACCUUCCUGUGGUGGAUACUGGAGCUGCACAUCAUCAAGAUCAUGUACUCCUACAUCAUCUGGGUGUCUGUGAAGGAGACAAGUGUCGCCGUUCUGUCUUCAGGCCAGACCCAACCAGGUGUCUCGUCCAGCUGGAGCCCCAGGCCGCUCGGACUUAAGGUCCCCCACUGAGCGCGGAUGGGGCAGAGAUGGACGCUGACUCACAGAUGUGGUUGUGCACCACAUGCCCACCCACCGUGGGUGUCUCUGUUCAACUAUGUGUUUCUGAUUUCCUGGGCUUUCAUUCUGCCAUACGCCAAGCUCCACCAUCUGCCCUCAGUGUCUGCACCGUCUGGACAUGUGUGAUCAUCGUCUGUAAGAUGCUGUACCAGCUGCAGACCAUCAAGCCUGAGAACUUCUCUGUGAACUGUUGAUUGCCAAAUGAAAACCAGACGAACAUACCCCUGCACCAGCUGAACAAGUCUCUGCUCUACAGCACACCCAUUGAUCCCAUGGAAUGGAUGGGCCUCAGGAAGUCGUCUCCUCUGCUCAUCUACCUGAGGGUAAGGCUUCCUCAUCCUUAGCAUUGCCUCUGCCAAGUUCACGUCUGCAGCCCUUUCCCUGGAGACCAUUCACCUCACCUUUGAGAGCAGCCUCAUCCUCUAACAUGGGGUUUGCAGUCACCUCCAAAACACAUGACUGAAUAUUAAAAUCGGUAUUGAAUUGUGCUGAAAAGAAAUCAGCUGAGUAAUUUGAGAUUCGUUGAAUAGAGUAUGACAAAUAUAUUCACUGGAAUGUUAUGAAACCACUUAAAGACUGAGG